AAAGUCGUAACAAGGUUUCCGUAGGUGAACCUGCGGAAGGAUCAUUAACACGUAUCCAUACGUAUUAUAUACCAAACCGUGAACUUGUUUGAAAAUAACACUGAAGAUAAGGAGGAAGCAAGCAAUUGCAACUUUCUGUCUUGUAUCUUAUUAUCAACUUAUAAACCACUUGUAACCAUUUGUACUAAACAAAACUAAGAAAGUGUAGUCUGUGUGUGUUCUAAAACAACAUACGCUUCUUCGCUUUUUGUAUUUACGAAAUGUAAAAACAAUUCUUAGCAACGGAUAUCUUGGUUCUC
rnacentral:misc_RNA from 1 species